rnacentral:rRNA from 2 species
AGGUCAAGAAACAAAGGGCAUACGGUGGAUGCCUUGGCGCUAAGGGCCGAAGAAGGGCGUGGAAAGCUGCGAAAAGCCACGGGGAGCCGCAAGCAGGCAWCGAUCCGUGGAUACCGAAUGGGGCAACCCGGCGGAGCAAAACUCCGUCACCCUAUGCUGAACACAUAGGCAUAGAGGAGGGCACCCGGGGAACUGAAACAUCUAAGUACCCGGAGGAAGAGAAAGAAAYAUCGAACCCCCAAGUAGCGGCGAGCGAAAAGGGGCGAGCCUAAACCAGAAUUCUUCGGAAAUCUGGGGUUGCGGGAACCUCAUCACGUGAYGAUUAGUCCUAGUCGAAGACACCUGGAAAGGUGCUGCACAGAAGGUAACACACCUGUAGGCGAAAGGACGAAAAUUGCAGAGGACAUCCCAAGUACCGCAGGACACGAGAAACCCUGUGGGAAUCCGGGGGGACCACCCCCCAAGGCUAACUACCCUUAGCGACCGAUAGUGAACCAGUACCGUGAGGGAAAGGUGAAAAGCACCCCGGGAGGGGAGUGAAAAAGAACCUGAAACCGUAUGCCUACAAACUGUCGGAGCACGAUUCAGUCGUAAGUCGUCAGACGUCAGACGUCGGGAAAAGGAAGAAAGAACUUUUGGGUCAAGGAAUAAAGGCCCAAAAGGAAUACAUGCAAACCUGACGACUGCUCCUGACGACUGACGACUGAUGUGUGACGGCGUACUUUUUGUAGAACGGACCGGCGAGUUACAUCCAACGUGCAGGUUAAGGCGAGCAAUGCCGGAGCCAAAGCGAAAGCGAGUCUUAAAAGGGCGGCAAGUACGUUGGAGUAGACCCGAAACCUGGUGAUCUACCCAUGUCCAGAGUGAAGCUUUAGUAAAAUAAAGUGGAGGCUCGAACCGACCUUCGUUGAAAAGGAGGCGGAUGAGGUGUGGGUAGGGGUGAAAUGCCAAUCGAACCAGGAGAUAGCUGGUUCUCCCCGAAAUAGCUUUAGGGCUAGCCUCGGAAGAUGGUUAGCGGAGGUAGAGCACUGAAUGGGCUAGGGGCCUUCACGGGUUACCGAACCCAAUCAAACUCCGAAUGCCGCAUAACUUACUCCGGGAGUCAGACUGCGAGUGCUAAGAUCCGUAGUCAAAAGGGAAACAGCCCAGACCAACAGCUAAGGUCCCAAAGACAGGCUAAGUGGAAAAGGAUGUGGGGUUGCACAGACAACCAGGAUGUUGCUUAGAAGCAGCCACCAUUUAAAGAGUGCGUAAUAGCUCACUGGUCAAGUGGCCCUGCGCCGAAAAUGAAACGGGGCUAAGCCUGGCACCGAAGCUUUGGAUCAGAUGGAAUUAAUGGUGUAUCAAGUGUUACAUUGGAAAGGUAAAAGUGAGUUUCAUUUUGUCACAAAAUAUCCUUAAAAAUAAAUUAAAUAUUUUGUGACCAAAUACCUCAGCUAAGACUGGCACCUGGUGCAGCAUUAAUUCCAUCUGAUGGUAGGGGAGCGUUCUUAUUCCGUUGAAGUCGUACCGUGAGGAGCGGUGGAGGAAUAAGAAGUGAGAAUGCCGGUAUGAGUAAGCGAAAAGGCAGGUGAGAAUCCUGCCCGCCGAAAACCUAAGGAUUUCUGGGGAAGGUUCGUCCGCCAGAGUAAGCCGACCUAAGCCGAGGCCGCAAGGCGUAGGUGAUGGACAAUCGGUUGAGAAUCCGAUGCCACCAACGAC